CGAACACGUCGAGCUUACACGCAGGGGGGGGGUAACAGCUCACCUAUCAUCUUUUUUCGGAUCGUUCUUAGCGUCUCCCUUGCAUUCGCCUAGGAAGGGCUAGACAAACGCACAUCCCUCCCCCUCCCUCAGAUCCUUCACUUCCCAUAGAGUCUUGAUUGCCACUCGCCUGCUUUUUCGUCUUUACUGCGGGUGCUUCGCAUCCAGUGAUUAGCCGAGCCGCCAUCGCGCGUCGGUGUCGCCACCCCCUCCCUGUGCCUUACCGUCUGUCGUGCAGACUCACAGGACUCACUGCUCUUUGAGGUACGACAGUGGUCCUUCGACCACCCCUCACAGCAAAGAGAAUAGAGACAUCAUACACCAGACAGAGUCACACGUACGCGCGAUAAGAAGCCGUCGACAUCACACGUCAUGGCAGCUCUUGCCGCGCUGGAGAAGGAGGUGGCAGACCUGAAGCGGGUUCGCGUCUUCAAUGAGACGGUGCGCACCGGUGUCGAGCGCGUCCUGGCAAGCCUUCCGUCACCUGAGAAUGAAAAGGAUACAUCCACCAAAGCUCGAAUUCUACUACUUCGCAGCCAAGCGACCCUCUUGCUUCCACGCGUUUCGCGGGAGGCGGAGAAGGAUCUUAAUGCGGCUCUGAAGCUGCAGCCUGGCUCGACAACGACGUGGGUCGAGCUCAGCGAGUGCCUGCUCCGUCGCAAUGCCUUUAAGGAGGCUUGCGACGCACUGGAUAAUGCUCUGCGCGUAAACCCGGCGCAUACCGAGGCGUUGUGCAAGUACAGCCAAAUCCAGCGUAACCGCUGCGGUGAGGAAGGGGUCACGGCUGAGCAGCGCAAGGCGUACUUGGAGGACGCCGUGGCCAAGGCCCGUGCAGCCGUAGGCUCCAACGUGGACGACGCAGACGCAUGGAACACACUGGCGCUGUCGCUGCUGUCAAAGGUGACGCUGGAGGGCAUGACGUUCGACGGCGUGCGCAAGGCACUGGCGGCGAUGCAGCAGGCAGAGCGGAAGUGCCCCGAGGACCCUGAUGUUCCGUACAACAAGGCCGUACUGGAAAGCCUUCUGGGGCACUUCGGGGCCGCAGCGAUGGACUACUGGAAGGCGCACGCCCUCGACAAGGACCGCCUCAAGGGCACCCGCCACCUCUCGGAGGAAAACGCGAAGGUGCUGCUGCGUGCGCAGAGCCGCAUGAGGACGUCCAGCGGCAUUGGCAAGCGUGACUUUCAGCGGAUCCGCACCCGCAUCGAGCAGGCCCACAAAAAGUACACGCAGAGCACCUCCGCCAAGGUCGUUGGCGUAUUAGACAUAGUCACGGAGCCAACGAUGCAACCCGUCACGCUGCUGGUGUCCGAUGGCAAGGGUGACUUUGGGCUUUUGCUCUUGCACGAGGUGCGCCCUACGUGUUUCAAGAUUGGCGACGUCAUUGCCUAUCCCGUGACGACUCCUGUCGAAACCAUCACUCACAACGUUGUUGCCUGCCCGGGGGUGGUGGAGGAACCGUUGAAGCUCACACUGAACCAUGCGUAUCCGAAUCCCAAGGGCAUACUAGUGAAUGGUCAACCACUGCCCUCCUCUGCGCAUGUGCCGCUGCAGAUGUCGUCUCGCCUCUUCGCGUGAGCUGAGCAACAGCGCCUCUGCGUGCUGCUGGGAACGGAGGGGGCUGCAUUGGACGCCGCUGCGCUCCCCUCUCUUCCCCAUGCGUUUUGCACAGUACGCUCUCUCGCAGGCCGGUUUAGCUGUGGUGACAGUCGUUGAAUGGGCAGGAGAUGAGGGGCACGUAAAAUAAUCCACGUGUCGGCAGCCCUUUUUCGUAAACUGUGCGUGCGCGCGUACCUGCGUGUGCAGCGCGCAGUGCAGCGCCACAUGAGGGCAUGACGAAAAAAAAAGCAUACAGAGGAAGAAUGAAGACAAAGGCGGAUAGCUGAAAGCGAACCGCCUUUUCCCUUGCGUGUACGUUGCACGCACGUCUGUGCGUCUCCGACGUGCAGCAUGGAUGCGUCCACCUCUCCCCUCUGCUCGACCUUUUGCACGACGUGAUGGCGAUUGGCAUCGCGCUGCUCAGGGGAUUGUAGGCGGCGGGGUGACGUAUGCGGAUGUAUGGAGAAGCAGCGUCUGCGGUGUGCGCCCUCCCCCCUUGGGCCACCAUCCACCCCGCGCCCACGUGCGCAGAGGAUGCCGGUGCGCCCAUGCUGACAUCUUUCCUCUGUCACCGCCACUUCAACAAUGCCCACAUCUUUUUGUUUUUGUGCUCUCUUCUGCUGUUGCCCUCUGCGCAUACGGCGCAUCCGCUGACAACGCCUGCAUCGCUGCACACGUUCGCUCACCGCUGCUUCAG
rnacentral:misc_RNA from 1 species